UACGAAGGUGGCAAGCGUUGUUCGGAUUCACUGGGCGUACAGGGUGUGUAGGCGGUUUGGUAAGCCUUCUGUUAAAGCUUCGGGCCCAACCCGGAAAGCGCAGAGGGUACUGCCAGGCUAGAGGGUGGGAGAGGAGCGCGGAAUUCCCGGUGUAGCGGUGAAAUGCGUAGAGAUCGGGAGGAAGGCCGGUGGCGAAGGCGGCGCUCUGGAACAUGCCUGACGCUGAGACACGAAAGCGUGGGGAGCAAACAGGAUUAGAUACCCUGGUAGUCCACGCCCUAAACUAUGGAUACUAAGUGUCGGCGGGUUACCGCCGGUGCCGCAGCUAACGCAUUAAGUAUCCCGCCUGGGAAGUACGGCCGCAAGGUUG
rnacentral:rRNA from 1 species